CACGUAGGCGGACCAGAAAGUCAGAGGUGAAAUCCCAGGGCUCAACCUUGGAACUGCCUUUGAAACUCCUGGUCUUGAGUUCGAGAGAGGUGAGUGGAAUUCCGAGUGUAGAGGUGAAAUUCGUAGAUAUCCGGAGGAACACCAGUGGCGAAGGCGGCUCACUGGCUCGAUACUGACGCUGAGGUGCGAAAGCGUGGGGAGCAAACA
rnacentral:rRNA from 1 species